CUCAACCCCGGACCUGCCUCUGAAACUGCGGGACUUGAGUGCUCUAGAGGGCAGUGGAAUGGCCGGUGUAGCAGUGAAAUGCGUAGAGAUCGGUCGGAACACCAGUGGCGAAGGCGACUGCCUGGGGAGUAACUGACGCUGAGGCGCGAAAGCUGGGGGAGCAAACGGGAUUAGAUACCCCGGUAGUCCCAGCCGUAAACGAUGAGUGCUAGGUGUGAGGGGUAUCGACCCCCCUUGUGCCGGAGUUAACGCAAUAAGCACUCCGCCUGGGGAGUACGGCCGCAAGGUUGAAACUCAAAGGAAUUGACGGGGGCCCGCACAAGCAGCGGAGCAUGUGGUUUAAUUCGAAGCAACGCGUAGAACCUUACCAGGGCUUGACAUGUUAGGAAUCCCGCAGAGAUGCGGGAGUGCCCUUCGGGGAGCCU
rnacentral:rRNA from 1 species